rnacentral:miRNA from 1 species
CCUACUGCUAGGUUUGCCCUUA